CCUAUGCUUCCUGGCUGAUGUUUUGGUCACUUUUGAAUGCUGGCGGUGCUUUCACUCUAGUGGUAGCAUGAGACGGAGUCUACAACCCACACAAGUGGCUCAGGUAGUGCAGCUCAUCCAGGAUGGCACAUCAAUGCGAGCUGUGGCAAGAAGGUUUGCUGUGUCUGUCAGCGUAGGGUCCAGAGCAUGGAGGCGCUACCAGGAGACAGGCCAGUACAUCAGGAGACGUGGAGGAGGCCGUACAAUUCUCUGCC